AUGUACUAGAAUCAGUAAGUUGGCUGCCCUGUUCCUUUCACAUCGAUCCUCCCUGAACAGAAAAAACAUAAAGGUUUUAAAAACACAUAAAUACUUCCUAAAAAUCAUAUAAUAUUCAGCUAUCAAAUUUUUCAUUUAUUACAAAUGCUUAACACAGAUAUGGAUGACACGGAUUUGAUGACGUGCUUUUACUUGUUUCUUACCCUUGUGACAUAUCCGCUUGAACUGGCAAGGAGGGGACUGGUGGCCUUGUAUGAUACGCGAUUGGGAAGACUAAUUGGCAAUGGAAUAAUGGAUUUUGGGAAUUUCCUCUGGGGUUGCAUCAAAUAUUUUGCCAAAUUCAUAAUUUGUUGGAUCGUUUUCCGUCUGGUGAUCUACCUUUUUGGAUAUUCCGACGCCAAGGAACUUUUGUCCUCGAUUUUAUUCAUCUUGAAGUACUCUGUACAAUUAUUUGUUAACUGUCGCUGCUGGGCACUCGUACUUUUUAUUUUUGUAUGUUUUCAAUUCAGACGCUGGGUGCAGGUUGUUUAAAAUAAUUAAUAAUUCUCCAACUCGUUUUACUUGUUUACUCGUUUUACCCAAUUUAUUUUAUAAUUAUUUUUAUAACUUAUUUUAUAUUUUACGUAUAAUUUUUCUUGAUAAUAAGUUUCCAUUUCUGGCAUAUAGUUCACAUAGUUAACAUACAAAAAUCAUGCCAUCAACUCUGUUUCACAGUUUGGUUGUUGGCAAUCAUAAAUGCAACAAUGUAAACUAUAACACGAAAUAUAAAUACAUUUAAGAAAUAAAA